GGAGACAGCUGUGCUAGUAGGCAUAACCAACACCAGGUGCUAUACGAGGAGCAAGCUAUGGCUCCUCAGAUGACAAUGUAACACUGAGACCAAGGCCAAGAGUUAGGCUGAGCUGGGGGAGGGGGCGGCGGGGCACAGAGCGCCCUCUGACCUCUUCCCACUCCACGAUCCCAGAGAUCUGCCUUCCUGCCUUUACCAUCCAUGUGAAUAAAGAUGACAGAUAUAACCCUGUUUUCCCUCACAAGAGGAAGGGUCUGUGCAGGUAUCUAUUUGAUCAGUGGUACUUCUCAUUUGUGAAGUGUGGAGCCUUCCCUGUGCUCAGUGGGGAAGACAGGGAGAGACAUUCAGUGUCGUGGAAGAGUCCUGCUCUGAAGAGCUAGGACUGAAUUUGGCUUUCAUGAGCCACUGCUCCCAAGUUCCCAUUUUAUUCCUCUGCAAAGACAAGAAAACGGCUCUGUUGGCUCUCUGAGUUUGUCCGGAGGAGCAUGUUGGAAAAUGGAUGUGUAAGCUCUCAGAAAUGAUGACAAAAUGUUUAAGAAUUAUCUAGUGAGCAGCACUGUCCCAGGGCCUGGAGAUGAGGAAUGAAGCAGACACUGACCCCGCCUCCUGGAGACCAACGCCUUCAGCCAUUAAGAGCUUUGAGUUUUCACUUCAACAUUUCACAUCCCAGUCCUGAGCUGUUCCUGACAAUGAAGCCAAGACCACGACAUCUCUGAUUCUUCACAGGCGUCUCCAAGCUACAGAAUUUCAGAAGAACCUAAGUGUACUGGAGCCAAGGCCACAGGGGAAUUUGAGCACAAUGUCCCUCCAUGCCUGGUUAGACCUUAUCCUCUCCAUUAGCUCGGCUUCCUCAUUCUUAAGACAACUGUACCUGGGACUUCUCUGGAGUCCAGUGGGUUGAGACUUGGCCUUCCAAUGCAGGGGGUGUGGGUUUGAUCCCUGGUCAGGGAACUAAGACCCCACGUGCCGCAGGGUGCAGCCAAAAAUUUAAAAAUACUACAUUAUAAAUCAACAUUAAAAAUGAAAAAAAGACAACUGUAACUAACUGUUAAAGCUGUAGCCUCUGUGAUACCUGCGUAUCGCAUAUAGGCUUUACCCUCUGAAACUUCAUUCUAUCUGAUUCUCUCCUUUCCUUUAUUCAUUCAAUACCUGUUUUUGUGCUACUGAGGCAUGGUGAAAAACUCAAGGUUGAAUCCCAUUGAGAGCCUGCUUUCAAAUAACUUAGUGUUACCUACCCAAGGGGAUCAGAAGAUGGCACAGAGGUCAGGAGUCACGAUUUGCUCAAAGUGGUGAGCUGUUAGGAAGUCACCAGAAAACAGCGACUCUUCGAAGGAGGGCAGGUUUGCUUCCGCUGUGGUGAUCCAACAUGGCUCCCAAGAGGAGCCUGCACCUGAGGAGUCCUCGAAGGAGCCCUGGGCUGAGAUCUGCAGAGGCUGAGGGUGGGCAUUCCAGUCUGAGCCAAGGAAGCUUGGAGCACCAUUGUCUUUCACUUUCUCCAGCCAGGUCAGCUCCUGAGGGAACUGGGAGAUGCCUCAGCGAUGCUGGUGGGUGUGCUCCAGGCACAAUUCCCCCACCACAGCUAGGUUAAAAAAAAAAAAGUUGAAAGCUGACACAGAUAGACAAAAAUAAAACAAAAAAUGACCUGGAUUUGAGGAGCUUUAAAAAGAAAGAUCUCUAAAACAAAAAAAAAAGGAGGUGCCGUGUAGUAUCGGUGCCUCAUUUGGCUGGGUUCUAAACCGUGCCCGGGUGCCCCUGAGCCCUGGCUUCGAGUUGCUGGAAUGCUCCUUACGUCUGAGAGAGUCUCAGAAACAACAACAAUAGAUUCUCAGAGAGCCCUGCCCUGGAAGCCUCUGGAGAGGGAGCGUGUGUGACUGUUUUCAAAACAAAAGAUGAUUCCUGAGCAUCAGAGAGCUGCGAAUGCUGUGACAAACUCACACCUCGGGUUCCGUAUGAACAAAUCUCAACCUGUGACUAGAAUGUUCUCACAGUUAUUUAAGUUCCCCGAGUGUGUCGCAUUUUCCUCCUCACCAUAUCAUUAUCGUUGAAAUGUUAAGAAAAAGAAAGCUGAGUAACGCCGUCUUCUGAGUAAGUGUCAGAGAGCCAAAAAUGUAACAGUCCAUCGCAGGCAUUUCCAAACCUUUCAAAUAUAAGACAACACUGUUAUAUCAUUUUUAUUGAAGGCAUAAAAUAAAAAUUAGUAUAAAAUAUUAAAUGUUUAUGAGCACAGACUCUGCUUUUAACAGUUUCUAAUUUGGACAGGAUGAUUUAGCAAUUAAAUUAUCUCAUAAUUACGCUCCUUGAUACAUUAUAAGUUCACUAAGUUCCACCUUCAGUAAUUUCAUGGCAAAAGACAAUGAUGGUUUUAGUCUUAUUUAAAAUGUUAGAU
ensembl:lncRNA